UGGCUGUUUCUUGCUGGCAAGUGAUGGUGAUCCAGUGGCUAGGGCACGGCGGGGCUAAGGCCGAUCAAGCCCUUUCGCUUCUCCCCUUCGAUCUGGGCAUUGGAGGGCAAGUUGGGUCAUCACCAGUGGGAGUGGAUCACGCGACACCAUUGGAGGUGAUCGAUUGAGGAUGGAGGAUGCUUCGGAUCAAUCUAGUGAUGGAUCUUCCUUGAGCAGGACUUCAUCUUCUCCAAUUCUUGCGGCUGGGUUCUGUGGAAGCUGUCGGAUGAGGAGGCAUUUUUGUAGAUUUUGGACAGUGGGAGUAGGGGCUGUGAGCUCUUG